AAGCCAUACUGCGGCUUCAGUGUUCGAUCUGAUUAAAUUGAUUCUGCAAUUCACCCCUCGCAGGACGUCCCAUUCCUGCCAUUCUGUUUCACUUCCUGUUUAUGUUUUGUAUUUUUUAUUUUUAUCUUGAGAAGAAACAGACAGCAGAAUAGGGGUUGUGGAAACCGGUUGCCAUAGAGAUUGGAGACGCACACACUGAGGCUAGCUGUCAGCUAGCUGAGAAGACCUCUUUGUUCGAAGGAGAGACGAGUGGGCAGCGGAGAAGUUGUCAGGAGAACAAACUUGCAAACAUCACGAUUCUGGUUCGUUUCAAACUCAAAUGUGAACUGGGUGUGGCCUGGAGUUAGCCCCUGACCAGGAGGACCUGUGCCAGUGUUCCCAGUUUGUUUAAACCUGGCUGCGCCUCACACCAGGGGCUGGUCAUGUUUCCCCCAGAAGAAGCAGUCCCGAUAUUUUUGUUGAGUUUGUUGUUUUGGUUAAGUGUAAUUGGUUUUGAUUUUCUUGAACUAGGUCUUCUGUUUAUCAGCAUCUUGGUUCUUAUUUGGUUUGUUUUGAGUUGCAUUCUUCUCAUUUUUUAAAUCAGCCUAGUGUUUUUUGUCUUUAAAACUUAUGUUACUCUUAGCAAUCAGCUUGUCUGUUGGACUGAACCAGGCGGGCCAGCCUUCGCUCAUCAAAUACGUCAUUACUCCUUUGGUUGCUCUUUGAGUUCGUCAUUAUUACUUUGGUCUGUCGCAGGUUCCAUGCUGGCUCCUCCUUGGACCACUUUUGGUAGAUUCACACCACUGUCAGGACAAAAUGUACACACAAUAUCUGUCUACAUUUCACACACAUACUUUUAGUACUCUUAAAUGAAUGUUUUUUAAAUAAAUGUUACUUCAAAUAUGACUUUUAUUUUA